rfam:Brachypodium distachyon strain Bd21 chromosome 3, whole genome shotgun sequence.
CAUGUACUCCCUCCGUCCCAUAUUAAGUGCCGAAAUAUUACAUGUAUCUUGACGUAUUUUAGUAUGUAGAUAUGUCCAUUUUUAGAAAAAUCUGAGUCACGUAAUAUGGGACGGAGGGAGUAGUUA